rnacentral:misc_RNA from 1 species
AACCAUUCUCACCUGCGGCUAGACCUGCGGAAGGAUCAUUAUCGAGUUGCAAAACUCCAACCCUUUGUGAACAUACCUCAGUCGUUGCUUCGGCGGUGGACGGCCUGUUUUUCGGAACGGCCGGAAGCCGCCGGAGGUUCCAAACUCGUAUUUUUUAGUGUAUCUCUGAGCCUGAAAACAAAUAAUCAAAACUUUCAGCAACGGAUCU